rnacentral:tRNA from 1 species
UGUAGCUCAGUUGGGAGAGCGCCUGCCUUGCAAGCAGGAGGUCAUCGGUUCGAUCCCGUUCA